rnacentral:rRNA from 1 species
AAUGAACGUUGGCGGCGUGGAUUAGGCAUGCAAGUCGAACGCUUUAUGUAGCAAUACAUGAAGGGUGGCGUAAGGGAGAGUAAUACAUAGUUAGCUACCCUCGGGACUGGGAUAGCGGCGGGAAACUGCCGGUAAUACCAGAUGAUAUCUUCGGAUCAAAGGUGUAAUUUCGCCCGAGGAGGUGACUGUGUCCUAUCAGCUUGUUGGCGGGGU